AUGAACGCUGGCGGCGUGCCUAACACAUGCAAGUCGGAUGUGCCGCAAGGUGCAUGGCAGACGGGUGAGUAACGCGUGGGGAACCUACCUCUUUGUGGGGAAUAACGCUCCGAAAGGAGUGGUAAUACCGCAUGAGACCUUCAGCUGGGAUGCUGGAGGUGAAACCUGGGGACCAGCAAUGGCCUGGGGCAAGGAGAGGGUCCUGCGUCUGAUUAGCUAGUUGGCGGGGUAAUGGCCCACCAAGGCAUCGAUCAGUAGCCGGCCUGAGAGGGUGAUCGGCCACACUGGAACUGAGACACGGUCCAGACUCCUACGGGAGGCAGCAGUGGGGAAUUUUGCGCAAUGGGCGAAAGCCUGACGCAGCAACGCCGCGUGGGUGAUGAAGGUCUUCGGAUUGUAAAACCCUGUCGUCAGGGACGAAGGUGCACAUGUUAAUAGCGUGUGUGCUUGACGGUACCUGGAGAGGAAGCCCCGGCUAACUCUGUGCCAGCAGCCGCGGUAAUACAGAGGGGGCAAGCGUUAUUCGGAAUUAUUGGGCGUAAAGGGCGCGUAGGCGGUUUUUUAAGUCAGAUGUGUAAUCCCCGAGCUUAACUUGGGAACUGCAUCUGAGACUGGAAGGCUAGAGUACUGGAGAGGGUGGUGGAAUUCCUCGUGUAGCGGUGAAAUGCGUAGAGAUGAGGAGGAACACCAGUGGCGAAGGCGGCCACCUGGACAGUAACUGACGCUGAGGCGCGAAAGUGUGGGUAGCAAACAGGAUUAGAUACCCUGGUAGUCCACGCUGUAAACGAUGAACACUUGGUGUGGAGGGAGUUGACCCCUUCCGUGCCGGAGCUAACGCGUUAA
rnacentral:rRNA from 1 species